GGAGUCUUUCAGCAAUAUACAAAAACUUUCUGAUCUAAUUAACAUAAAACUUUUCUAACUAGGAGAUCUGUAGUGAUGGUAAAAGACAUGGAUUGAUAGGUCUGAGGGUGAAGAAGAAGAAGAAUAUUAGACAUUGUGACAGUCAAAUUAUUGAUUAUAAAUUGGAGAAUUUUUGCAUAAAUUAUUUUCCUUGUUCUAAUUACCUUUU
rnacentral:misc_RNA from 1 species